rnacentral:rRNA from 1 species
AGUGAACGCUGGCGGUAGGCCUAACACAUGCAAGUCGAACGGCAGCACAGUAAGAGCUUGCUCUUACGGGUGGCGAGUGGCGGACGGGUGAGGAAUACAUCGGAAUCUACUUUUUCGUGGGGGAUAACGUAGGGAAACUUACGCUAAUACCGCAUACGACCUACGGGUGAAAGCAGGGGAUCUUCGGACCUUGCGCGAUUGAAUGAGCCGAUGUCGGAUUAGCUAGUUGGCGGGGUAAAGGCCCACCAAGGGGAGGAUCCGUAGCCGGCCUGAGUGGAGGAUCAGCCACACUGGAACUGAGACACGGUCCAUGGUCCUACGGGACGCAGCAGUGGGGAAUAUGGGACAAUAGUCGGAAGUCUGAUCCAGCCAUACCGCGUGUGUGAAGAAGGCCUUCGGGUUGUAAAGCCCUUUUGUUGGGAAAGAAAAGCAGCAGGUUAAUACCACGCUGUUCUGACGGUACCCAAAGAAUAAGCACCGGCUAACUUCGUG